UAGGGAAUCUUCGGCAAUGGGGGGCAACCCUGACCGAGCAACGCCGCGUGAGUGAAGAAGGUUUUCGGAUCGUAAAGCUCUGUUGUAAGAGAAGAACGUGUGUGAGAGUGGAAAGUUCACACAGUGACGGUAACUUACCAGAAAGGGACGGCUAACUACGUGCCAU
rnacentral:rRNA from 1 species